AUUGAACGCUGGCGGCAGGCCUAACACAUGCAAGUCGAACGAGUGGCGGACGGGUGAGUAAUGCCUGGGAAACUGCCCGAUGGAGGGGGGUAGCUACUGGAAACGGUAGCCAAUACCGCACUCAUUCGGAUGUGUCAAGAUGGGAUUUUCUAGUGGGGGGGGUAACGGCUCACCUAGGCGACGAGCCCUAGCUGGUCGGAGAGGAUGACCAGCCACACUGGAACUGAGACACGGUCCAGACUCCUACGGUAGGCAGCAGUGGGGAAUAUUGGACAAUGGGCGAAAGCCUGAUGCAGCCAUGCCGCGUGUGUGAAGAAGGCCUUCGGGUGGUAAAGUACUUUCAGCGGGGAGGCGUUACUCGCAGAAGAAGCACCGGCUAACUCCGUGCCAGCAGCCGCGGUAAUAC
rnacentral:rRNA from 1 species